rnacentral:lncRNA from 1 species
UUGAAGUAAAUGAUAUUGAAAGUGGUGAAGGUCCCAGUAAUUUUGAUGUGCAGCCUAGUGGCUAAGACAUCGAGCUUGCUGGUUGGAAAGACACUCAUUUCUUGGCUAGCUAGGGAGGAGUUUUGGUGGUUUAUUUUGUUGUCAUUCUGCUUGUCUGGGUCAUUUCAGGGUUAUAAUCCGGACAUUGCCUUGUGGUUCAAACUCUUCUUCUUCUUUUUGCUUUGUUCGUUUUAUUGUAGUAACUCAUCUAGUGUUAUCUAGGAUUGUUCCAAGGUUAUAACCCAUGUCUAUUUUGCUUAUUUUUUUCAAACCCUGUUCACCAUCUGUCUUAUGCAAUCUCUUGUUUUCUGUUAGUUCUAGUCAGUCUUUUGUUUAGGUCACUUUUCCUUUUAUAAUUCUUUUCAUGUUGACUGUAGUGACAUGAAAUGCACGCAUAAUUCUUAGAUCUUGAAAGUUAGUCUAAUCAUGAAGCAAUGACACAAUUUUGAAUAUGAUAAAACGAUGCGUUUGAGGAAAUAAUUAAAGAUUCAC